AAAUUGAAGAGUUUGAUCAUGGCUCAGAUUGAACGCUGGCGGCAGGCCUAACACAUGCAAGUCGAACGGUAACAGGAAGCAGCUUGCUGCUUUGCUGACGAGUGGCGGACGGGUGAGUAAUGUCUGGGAAACUGCCUGAUGGAGGGGGAUAACUACUGGAAACGGUGGCUAAUACCGCAUAACGUCGCAAGACCAAAGAGGGGGACCUUCGGGCCUCUUGCCAUCAGAUGUGCCCAGAUGGGAUUAGCUUGUUGGUGAGGUAACGGCUCACCAAGGCGACGAUCCCUAGCUGGUCUGAGAGGAUGACCAGCCACACUGGAACUGAGACACGGUCCAGACUCCUACGGGAGGCAGCAGUGGGGAAUAUUGCACAAUGGGCGCAAGCCUGAUGCAGCCAUGCCGCGUGUAUGAAGAAGGCCUUCGGGUUGUAAAGUACUUUCAGCGGGGAGGAAGGUGUUGUGGUUAAUAACCGCAGCAAUUGACGUUACCCGCAGAAGAAGCACCGGCUAACUCCGUGCCAGCAGCCGCGGUAAUACGGAGGGUGCAAGCGUUAAUCGGAAUUACUGGGCGUAAAGCGCACGCAGGCGGUCUGUCAAGUCGGAUGUGAAAUCCCCGGGCUCAACCUGGGAACUGCAUUCGAAACUGGCAGGCUUGAGUCUUGUAGAGGGGGGUAGAAUUCCAGGUGUAGCGGUGAAAUGCGUAGAGAUCUGGAGGAAUACCGGUGGCGAAGGCGGCCCCCUGGACAAAGACUGACGCUCAGGUGCGAAAGCGUGGGGAGCAAACAGGAUUAGAUACCCUGGUAGUCCACGCCGUAAACGAUGUCUACUUGGAGGUUGUGCCCUUGAGGCGUGGCUUCCGGAGCUAACGCGUUAAGUAGACCGCCUGGGGAGUACGGCCGCAAGGUUAAAACUCAAAUGAAUUGACGGGGGCCCGCACAAGCGGUGGAGCAUGUGGUUUAAUUCGAUGCAACGCGAAGAACCUUACCUGGUCUUGACAUCCACAGAACUUUCCAGAGAUGGAUUGGUGCCUUCGGGAACUGUGAGACAGGUGCUGCAUGGCUGUCGUCAGCUCGUGUUGUGAAAUGUUGGGUUAAGUCCCGCAACGAG
rnacentral:rRNA from 1 species